UCAUUCUAUUUCUAAACAUCUCUCGGGUUUCUUUCCUUUUACCAUUAAAUCCUCUUCUACUCAAAAGGGCUUGUCACCCCGACCAUUCUUAAUUAUCCCGACAUCACCUCACAUGUCGAGAUACCUACCUCCAUAAUAUAUCUUAAGGUACUCCCUACAUCACUAUUAUUCAACCGUCCAUGAUGACAAUAUCCGAAGUCCUUUACUUACUCGAUACAGAUAUUCAUUCUGCUACGUCUGUCCUUAUCGAAAUUACUACAAUGAAUCGA
rnacentral:lncRNA from 1 species